ensembl:lncRNA
UAAAUCAUUCUGGGGAUGGGGAUGCUGUCACCGAAGAAGCACCUGCUAUAAACUACAUUUGACAGCCCCGCACUCUGCAGCAGACAGUUGGGUGGCUGAAGAGCAGUGCUGCCAUGCUGGGCGCCCCUGUGCUCCACUGCAGCGCCGCGACUGCGCUGCAUCCGCAGCCACAGCCAGCCAAGCAAGCACAGCUGCCAGCUGCCUGCUGGGACCAAGAGCCAGCCUGCUGACAACAAGCCCAGUAGUUUUCCUAAGCACUCUUGCCUUCCAAGAAGAAAGCUGGCCUUUACUCCCCCCUAGAAACAUCUCUCCUUCUCAGUGCUCAUUUUCAGCGUGUGCUUAAUCUGUCAUCGUCCUCUUGUCAAAGGAAAAGUGAGGGUUGCUUGACCUGACACAAAUCCUGUCUCUGGAACAGCAACGUGAACUGGCUGAAAGAAUCCCUGUCAAGAUGAGUUUUUUGAUAUCAUCCCAAUGUGAAUGCACCUGAUUAUUCUGAAAAUAUAAGGGAGAGCAUGCAUAUCAGGAAAGUGCUUGACAAUUCUGCCACAGAUUUAACUAUAGACGAGUAUUCAGUAUCUAACUGAAAAUCCACCUGAAAAUCACAUAAGUGGAAAAAUAAGAUAUGUGUAUGAAUGAAUUUUAGCAAUCACACUACUGUAUUAAUAGCAGACCAACACAGUUUCUCCACAAGCCUUUGCUUGGUGCACACACAGGGCAGCUAAGCUUCCACCCUGGGAACCACUGCACAUACACCCCAGCAAUCCCUGCCCUGCCAGGCCUCCCCAGCCCCAUUUCCAAAAUCACAUCAUUUUUCUCGAGAGCUCCUCUGCAGGAGAGAAAGCGCAGAGCCUGAAUGCUCAAAGUGGGGUAUAAACUGGCUUUUGUGUGUAUGCAUACGUGCGUAUGUAUGGAGGACACAUGGGAAAAACAGGCCCAUAUCUUUUCAUGAUAACAAAGAAGGAAAUAACUUCAGAUGAUUUUGUGUGCCCAGGUCCCAGAUAUGUUAAUUAUUAGAGGUAAAAACCAAGAAAUACAUCUUCAAGUAAAGUACUGUUAUCCAAGAUAUAUUUUGUAGGAAUUGCUGUAGCUACAUCUGUGAUGCUAUAUUUAUAUGCUAUGCUCUGGAAAUUCUUAUUUCUGUGGAGAAGAGGAAGAGAAUGAUGGAUGCUUUAAUAUAGUGAUAGUUUUCCCUUUUGUAUUCAUGAGUAGGCCUUGAAUUCUACUUCUGAGGUUUACAUCAUUAGAAUUCUACUUGACCUGAAUCUCCCUUGCAUAGUUUGAUUUUAUGACACCAUUAAGUUUAUUUAGCAAUGGAAUUACUUUCAUCCUAAUUACUUUUGCAGUCUGUGUUGUUUUCACAAAAUGAGACAUGGACUAGAAAGCAAAAAAUGUAACCAUAGAAGUCCUAAUAAUUUCCUAAUGUAUUAUUUCAUUAAUUCAUCAACUCUCCAGUGUGAGGCACGCUGGUGAACAGUGUAGGACCUGGCUGAAAAAAAAUCUGAGUUACAAGUUAUGGGACACAUUAACAAAGUUGGCAUUAAGAAUGCAAGAAUGCAAAAACUGCCCAGCAUCCAUGUAGGUUAAACUAUACUUUUUAUAGAAGAACUGAAAUAUUUUUAGGCUUUUUCCUACUUGUUUAAUUUUUCCCCAUCAGAACAUCUUCUUGAUGACUGUGUGAUUUUUGCAAAAAUGCAUUGCUUCAGUUACCUUUCUUUGUAUUUUCCUGACAUCCCUGAGCAAUAUUGGAUAUUUCCUUUGUGUUCAAUAUUUUAGUAUGAUGUUGACCCUGUGUUUUCUAACCUUGCCAAAUUUUCAUUUGUCUGUGUUUUCUUUUCUUACAAUUUUUUUUCCCUUCUUCUAGAACACAGGGAAAAUCUGGUCAAAUGAGCCAGUUGUUUUGCUUGGGCUAUUGACUCUGCUUCCUUUAGAGGACACAUUUAAAAUUUAUAUAAUAUUGGAUAAAUUUUUUCCUCAUUUCCUAUAUUUUAUGUGGGAACUUUUCUUUGGUCUGAAAAAGUAUUUUAUUGUUUUUAAAUUUCUGCUUCCUUGAAACAUAUUACACACUAUAUCAAAAGGGAAAGCAAAAAAAAAAAAAAAGACAGCAGUAAGUGAAAAAUGUAAGCCUCAGUCUAGAAAGAGAACCUGAAUUCAAGUAGUGAUUUUGCCUUAUCUCCUGGCUUUGCCAGUUUUGCUCUUUUAUGACCGAAGAAGCUAAGAUAGUAGAACAGCAUGUGUUUGUCUCUCAAACAUAAUGGAAUAGCCAUAGCAAUGGAAUUCCAUUCUAAUUUAAACUUUUUCUUUUAAACUGGUAACUAAAUGACCUUGGAAAAGCAAUAUCCAGGGAGCACUGGGAAUCUGGCUGUGCCAAAUUAACUGACCAAAUUAACUGCACUCAAGAGUUCCACUCUGAAACAUUUGAUUCUUCUUCCUACCUCCUUCACUCCUCCUGCCCCUGAUUUACCCUCUCUUAAACUUAUUUUAGCAAUUCAAUACCAUAGAGCAUCUGACAUAAACAAUUAUGCACAGAGAUGACAGGAAUUGUAUCUGAGAUUUUCUCCUCCCCUUUCUUUUUUAAAAUUUUUUUUGCACUCCUGCUGUUUUAAGUGUCUAGCAAAUGAUUAUUUCACUUUCUUGAAUUUCAAAAGGGAAUAGGAUAUAAUCUGAAUUCUAUUGUAUAUUGUUCUAUCAAGAAAAAUUCCAAUUUAUAGUUAAAUUUGGUGAAUGGCAGUAUAAAAUAAGAAAAAAAAUUAGAUAAGUUUAGAAAUUCUGAUUAAACUGGUUUUGUAAUGGCUUGCAUGUCAAGAGAGCAGAGUAAUAUUAGACUUACUCUUCUAUUUUUGGCUGUCUAGUUUCUAAAAAUAAAGAAAACUCUCUUGACA